GAUGAACGCUGGCGGCGUGCCUAAUACAUGCAAGUCGAGCGAACAGACGAGGAGCUUGCUCCUCUGACGUUAGCGGCGGACGGGUGAGUAACACGUGGAUAACCUACCUAUAAGACUGGGAUAACUUCGGGAAACCGGAGCUAAUACCGGAUAAUAUAUUGAACCGCAUGGUUCAAUAGUGAAAGACGGUUUUGCUGUCACUUAUAGAUUGAUCCGCGCCGCAUUAGCUAGUUGGUAAGGUAACGGCUUACCAAGGCAACGAUGCGUAGCCGACCUGAGAGGGUGAUCGGACACACUGGAACUGAGACACGGUACAGACUCCUACGGGAGGCAGCAGUAGGGAAUAUUACGCAAUGGGCGAAAGCCUGACGGAGCAACGCCGCGUGAGUGAUGAAGGUCUUCGGAUCGUAAAACUCUGUUAUUAGGGAAGAAAAAAUGUGUAAGUAACUAUGCACGUCUUGACGGUACCUAAACAGAAAGCCACGGCUAACUACGUG
rnacentral:rRNA from 1 species